rnacentral:lncRNA from 1 species
CGGUGAGGAGAAUGGACGCCUCUGGGGACAAGGGAGGAGGCCUGGGGAAGGGACCAGCUCCUGAGGGAUUCCACCACGGGCGUCCUGUGCUGCCCCUAGGAGAGAAGCAGGCCUGCGGCAUCCUUUCCCCUCCCCUGCCUGCCGGGUGGGAGGACGCAGAUGGGAAGUUCCAAGUCCCUGCAGCCUUGAGCCAGGCCUGCCUUCCUGCCGCAGUUCUUCCCGGUGCCAAGAUGGGGUUAUUCUGACUUCCUUCACAGAAACAAAGGCAGGUGGGAGGCUGUAUGUUGACGAAGCAACGCAGUGGAAUGGGACAAGCGCUGGCCUGGGAGGCGGGGCACCGCUCACAGGUUCCUCAUUCCCUCACAGAGGUUGGGACAAGAUGGCCUCUGACCCCCUCCAGCCCUGAGAUGCUCGGGAAGAGACGGCAGUCCAAAGAUUGCUGAGGAUCUUGAAGUCCUAAAAUGCGGCUUCUAAUGUUUGCUCGUCUGCCUGAGCUCCAGCCCACUCUGUUCUGCCUCUUGGCUUCUCAGUUUUUAGCACAUCUGCCCUCCGUCCCAGCGCUUGCACAUACUUGGUGAAAGAUUCUCUCUCUCAUCGAAUCUCAAGGGUACAUCUGGCCUUCCCAGUUGGAUGACAAGUUCAAGGGUAGAUCAUGCCCUUGGUCCCGCUGCAGCAGCUUCCACAAGGCUGAAAUGAGAAGACUGAAGCUCAGAGAGUUUACAUGACUUCCUCCAUGUCUCACUGCAAGUGAAGAAACAGGCUGCAGAUGAAGAGCUGAAACCACAAUCUUAGAGGGGCUGGUUGUCUCCCCAGCUGCACUGUGGCGUUCUCAAGGUAGACAUCUCAGGGGCAACACAGCGACAUGGAAAAGAGCUUACUGGGACCAGGCUGCCUGCGUUCAGCCGCGAGGUUAUUACCUGUGGUGACCUGGGGUAAGUCAGUCAGCCCUUCAGUGCCUCAGUUUCCCUAUCUGGAAAAUGGCAAUAACCACAGUUGUUGUGAAGAUUGACUACGACGAUCCACAUGAAGGCCUCAGUACGGUGUGUGACACACAGCAGUGUUCGUGAAAGAGUAGCUAGUAUUAACAGCCACAUCUCCUGGUUCUCUUGUGAACCCCCGUGGGUCCAGCAUUGGCACACAGCACACAGGAAGGUUCAGUGUUUGCUGCUUCACUAGGAGCCUUUCAGGAAGUGUGGUCAUAAGAAGUGAGAGGUGAUUUACAAGUGGCACAGCAUCUGUCACAAGGGCUUUAUUUGCACAAUAAAUGCUACCAGACAUGUAAGAUAUGCUUAUGAGCAUGUCUUUUGUAAUCAGCACCCUCUAGAAAGUUCCCCUCCCCUAAUGCUCCUGGCCUUGGCUGUGGCCACACCCACUGCCCAAGUGAGCAGUGUCAGCUGUCGGCUGUCCUCUUUCUUCCGGAUUAGGCUCCUCUACAGGGAUCUUCCCAUGGUUAUACAUUUGGAGAAUUGGAGAAUGCUUCACAAACACUUCCAAAUGUCUCAUAGCAAUGAGAGGCCAGUGCAAAGGGUAGAGGGAGCUCUCCUCUGCCACAGAAAUCAGAGCUGG